AGUGAACGCUGGCGGCAGGCCUAACACAUGCAAGUCGAGCGGAUGAAGGGAGCUUGCUCCUGGAUUCAGCGGCGGACGGGUGAGUAAUGCCUAGGAAUCUGCCUGGUAGUGGGGGAUAACGUCCGGAAACGGGCGCUAAUACCGCAUACGUCCUGAGGGAGAAAGUGGGGGAUCUUCGGACCUCACGCUAUCAGAUGAGCCUAGGUCGGAUUAGCUAGUUGGUGGGGUAAAGGCCUACCGAGGCGACGAUCCGUAACUGGUCUGAGAGGAUGAUCAGUCACACUGGAACUGAGACACGGUCCAGACUCCUACGGGAGGCAGCAGUGGGGAAUAUUGGACAAUGGGCGAAAGCCUGAUCCAGCCAUGCCGCGUGUGUGAAGAAGGUCUUCGGAUUGUAAAGCACUUUAAGUUGGGAGGAAGGGCAGUAAGUUAAUACCUUGCUGUUUUGACGUUACCAAAAGAAUAAGCACCGGCUAACUUCGUG
rnacentral:rRNA from 1 species